CAUGCAAAGUGGGCAUGCCGCAUCACAAGGGCCACCCAGAACUGGCUCAACUCCCAUCAAGCCAAGUUUCCGGAGGAGAUCACCCAGCUCGUCAUGCUAGAGAACUUUUUCAAUGAGCUCCCCAACGACAAGGUGACGACGCAUUCGUAUGUCCACUGGUAACGGGGAAUCAGGGUUCGAUUGCAGAGAGGGAGCCUGAGAAAUGGCUACCACAUGCAAGGAAGGCAGCAG